CGAAAUCAUCAACCAAAUGCCAGUUCGAUCUUGAUAAGUUAUACAGGAUAAGGUCUCGUAUGUUAUGUCAACGGUCCAAAACGAGCUGGCAGCUUUAUGGGGAAAAGAAUACUCGUUUCUUCCAUCGGGCUAUAGCUAAACGCAGGGCUCACAACACUAUUCGAAAAAUCGAGUAUGAGCAAGUAACUCUUACCAGGGCGGUUGAAAUCAAGCAAGCUUUCUACUCUCACUUCUCCAAUUUGUUAGCAAAGGAGCCUCCAAGGAUGGUCUUCAAUCUGGGCUCGUGCUCUUUGUCUACUCUGUCCCCGAGCCAGUGCAGCUUUGUAGAUGCCAAAUUCACUUUAACCGAAAUAGAAUUUGCUCUGUCUUCUACGGAAAAGACCAAGGCNCUUACUCAAAACUUCUACUCAGGAUUGGGGUCCGCGCCCUUUCAAGUUCUUCAAUUGCUGGCUGGAAGAUGACACACUCGCUCAUACUUUACGAAAUUCAUGGAAGAGCUCGCAGUCCUCCAAUAUUCAUCAUAAAUUCAGGUCGUUAAGAGAGGCUGCUAAGAUGUGGAAUUCAACCAAGAUGGGUAAUAUAGAUAUCAAAAUAAAGGAAGCAGAGACAGCUCGGGAUAGGGAAGACAAUGGACUUUCAAACCCGAAAUCAUCAACCAAAUGCCAGUUCGAUCUUGAUAAGUUAUACAGGAUAAGGUCUCGUAUGUUAUGUCAACGGUCCAAAACGAGCUGGCAGCUUUAUGGGGAAAAGAAUACUCGUUUCUUCCAUCGGGCUAUAGCUAAACGCAGGGCUCACAACACUAUUCGAAAAAUCGAGUAUGAGCAAGUAACUCUUACCAGGGCGGUUGAAAUCAAGCAAGCUUUCUACUCUCACUUCUCCAAUUUGUUAGCAAAGGAG
rnacentral:lncRNA from 1 species